rfam:Bacillus sp. LF1 genome assembly, contig: CONTIG000005
ACACUAGCGUUGAAAAGGAGUAGUAAAAGAGAACCCUAACGUCAGAGAUCCGUUCCAUUGGCUGAGAGAACGGUCGUUAAUUCUUUUUGAAUGUCGCCUUGGAGCUUUGCUUGCAAAAUGGUUAUGUUAUUGCCCAGAGUAGUGAGUGACGGUUAGUCUCGUUAACAGACCCAAGUCUUAAUGAAUAAGACUUAUUGAGCCUUUUUUCCGUGAGGAAGAUAGGAAAGUUGAGUGGUAUCGUGAUUUUUUCGCCUCAGCA